UUAACACAUGCAAGUCGAGGGGCAGCAUUUCAGUUUGCUUGCAAACUGGAGAUGGCGACCGGCGCACGGGUGAGUAACACGUAUCCAACCUGCCGAUAACUCGGGGAUAGCCUUUCGAAAGAAAGAUUAAUACCCGAUGGUAUAAUCAGACCGCAUGGUCUUGUUAUUAAAGAAUUUCGGUUAUCGAUGGGGAUGCGUUCCAUUAGGCAGUUGGUGAGGUAACGGCUCACCAAACCUUCGAUGGAUAGGGGUUCUGAGAGGAAGGUCCCCCACAUUGGAACUGAGACACGGUCCAAACUCCUACGGGAGGCAGCAGUGAGGAAUAUUGGUCAAUGGGCGCAGGCCUGAACCAGCCAAGUAGCGUGAAGGAUGACUGCCCUAUGGGUUGUAAACUUCUUUUAUAUGGGAAUAAAGUUUUCCACGUGUGGAAUUUUGUAUGUACCAUAUGAAUAAGGAUCGGCUAACUCCGUGCCAGCAGCCGCGGUAAUACGGAGGAUCCGAGCGUUAUCCGGAUUUAUUGGGUUUAAAGGGAGCGUAGGUGGACAGUUAAGUCAGUUGUGAAAGUUUGCGGCUCAACCGUAAAAUUGCAGUUGAUACUGGCUGUCUUGAGUACAGUAGAGGUGGGCGGAAUUCGUGGUGUAGCGGUGAAAUGCUUAGAUAUCACGAAGAACUCCGAUUGCGAAGGCAGCUCACUGGACUGCAACUGACACUGAUGCUCGAAAGUGUGGGUAUCAAACAGGAUUAGAUACCCUGGUAGUCCACACAGUAAACGAUGAAUACUCGCUGUUUGCGAUAUACAGUAAGCGGCCAAGCGAAAGCAUUAAGUAUUCCACCUGGGGAGUACGCCGGCAACGGUGAAACUCAAAGGAAUUGACGGGGGCCCGCACAAGCGGAGGAACAUGUGGUUUAAUUCGAUGAUACGCGAGGAACCUUACCCGGGCUUAAAUUGCAUUUGAAUAUAUUGGAAACAGUAUAGCCGUAAGGCAAAUGUGAAGGUGCUGCAUGGUUGUCGUCAGCUCGUGCCGUGAGGUGUCGGCUUAAGUGCCAUAACGAGCGCAACCCUUAUCUUUAGUUACUAACAGGUCAUGCUGAGGACUCUAGAGAGACUGCCGUCGUAAGAUGUGAGGAAGGUGGGGAUGACGUCAAAUCAGCACGGCCCUUACGUCCGGGGCUACACACGUGUUACAAUGGGGGGUACAGAAGGCAGCUACCUGGUGACAGGAUGCUAAUCCCAAAAGCCUCUCUCAGUUCGGAUCGAAGUCUGCAACCCGACUUCGUGAAGCUGGAUUCGCUAGUAAUCGCGCAUCAGCCAUGGCGCGGUGAAUACGUUCCCGGGCCUUGUACACACCGCCCGUCAAGCCAUGAAAGCCGGGGGUACCUGAAGUACGUAACCGCAAGGAGCGUCCUAGGGUAAAACUGGUAAUUGGGGCUAA
rnacentral:rRNA from 1 species